AGCGAACGCUGGCGGCAGGCCUAACACAUGCAAGUCGAACGAAGCCUUCGGGCUUAGUGGCGGACGGGUGAGUAACACGUGGGAACGUACCUUUUGGUUCGGAAUAACGCAGAGAAAUUUGCGCUAAUACCGAAUGAGCCCUUAGGGGGAAAGAUUUAUCGCCGAAAGAUCGGCCCGCGCUGGAUUAGGUAGUUGGUGUGGUAAAGGCGCACCAAGCCUACGAUCCAUAGCUGGUCUGAGAGGAUGAUUAGCCACACUGGGACUGAGACACGGCCCAGACUCCUACGGGAGGCAGCAGUGGGGAAUCUUGCGCAAUGGGCGAAAGCCUGACGCAGCCAUGCCGCGUGAAUGAUGAAGGUCUUAGGAUUGUAAAAUUCUUUUACCAGGGACGAUAAUGACGGUACCUGGAGAAAAAGCCCCGGCUAACUUCGUGCCAGCCGCCGCCGUAA
rnacentral:rRNA from 1 species